ensembl:lncRNA
CCUGCCUAACUAGUUAUCUAAAUAUAUAUGUUUCAUAUAUUUCUGAUUUCUCUCUCAUUUAUUUCUGACUUCAACUCUAUGGGACUUUGGAAGCCCAUUAUACAUGCAAGGACACAGAAGCCUGAGAAAAGUUAAAUAACUUUUCCAAAGUCACACAACUGAAAAGAAAACGUGAUAAUAAAGCAUUGUAAUAGAGCUUCUUGCAAAUUGGUAAACUCCUGGAGGAUUUGCUAGACCACCAUUCACGGAGCAAAGGCUGUACUUAAAUGCUGGAAGGAGGAAGAUUGCCAUUCUGUUUAGGGGCAUAACAGUAUUUACAAAUUAGCACAGCAUUCAGAACAGUAGCACCUGGAGUCUGGGGAGCCUAUUCUGAAAUGAAAUCAUCCAAAUUACUCUUACAUCAGUAUAGCUACACAUCUAGACAUUUUGAUAAUUCCUUCAGGAGUCCUGUGAUUCUGGAAAAACAAGCAAGAGAGUCAAAUUGUCUAAACGUAAUUUCUGCUUUCAUGGAUCACAAACAAGAAAGUGAACACAAAGGUCUGGCUAUGUUUUUGGAAGAGAAGAAGGAAAACUCCAAGAAGGGCAAAACAAAUAGAUGUUUUAGAAAAUUAUCUCAUAUAUUUGGACUUUGGGCAUGUGGGCGAAACCCUCCCCUAAACAGUGUAUGCUUAAUUCUGGAGCUCUGAGGGGGUUGGAACAUGAAAUCAGGGGCCCAGAUAAUUAUGAUUGAUUUUAGAUUUUAAGUGAAAUUUCAGGUGUUGGUCCAGUCUAUCCAUUCAGCUCAGUAAAAAACCAACAGAGAUAGUGACUCAAGGUUCUUCUUCUGGCCAAGAAUGAAGUCAGUGCGUUGGGUUGGUGCAUCCCUAAGGUGUAUCUCUUGGGAAUUAGUGUUUCCUACAAACUCCAGCCUAGGCCCCUGGAAGACCUGCUUGCUGCUCCAGACACACUUAACAUAUUGACAAAAUUAAACAUGUUCACAGGUGAGCUUCUUCCUUCCUUCAUAUAUUCACUUAUUCAUUCAACAAAUUAUUUGUUGAGUGCCAUGCACUGUACUAGGUGCUGGGUGUGCACUGGUGCCUAAAAUAGACGUGGGGUUUUCCUUUGGAACUUAUGAUCUAGUGGGCAAGGAUAUCCAAUAUACAAGAAAACAAUAUAAAUUACAAAUUGUGCUAAGGGAGUGAACACAGAGAAUGAGAAGGACACUCAAAGAACCUAAAACACAAUUGUGUCUAGAAAGACUAAAGGAAUUAGGAAGAUUGUUGUCUUUUUCAUAGAAGUAUCAGAAGAAGUUCUUACCUAUGUGUAAACUUUAGAGGAUGUUGUAUGAAAAAAGUGCUUUUUAUUCUUCAUUAAUACUAAGGAGUUGAGCUGGCAUUAAAACCUGCAAGUUUUGAGGAGAUCUGUGUUGGAUUCACCUGAUGAAGAAUUUUUGUGCUGUGAAAGAAUGGAAUGAGUUGUUCAGGGAGGGUCAGAUCAUCAUCAGUUCGCUUGAUUAAAAACAGACAUAAUUACUGCUCAAUAGUAAAAAAAAAAAAAAGUAAAUAUGCCACAUGAAUGAGUCUCAAAAGCAUAGCGCUGAGUGAAAGAUGCCUUAUACAAAAGGCUACUUAUUGUAUGAUUCCAUUAACUUGAAACUCUAGAUUAGGCUUAAUUAAUCACUGGGGGAUAACUGGGACAAUCAUUGCCUGGGGAGGGGCAGUGCAGUGGGGCUGGAAUUAACAAGGAAGGUGCGUGAGGGAACUUUCCUCACGGUAUAGAUAAUGGGCAUGUUCUAUACCUUGACAGAGAUUUGGCUCACACAGAUAUGCCCAUUGGCAGUACACAGCCAGUUGUUCAUUUAGUAUGUUUGCAUGUCACUAGACACACAUUUUAUCUAAAGUAAAUAAGGAAAAAUUGAGGAGGGAAGGAAGGAAGGAAGCAAAGGGAGAGAAGGAAGGAAGAAAAAAGAAAAAGGGUAAACACAACUAAGGAAGGAAAGAAGAAAUGAAGAGAAAGAACCAAAACCAAACAAUAAGUUAAUGAUAUGCAUCCUGGAGUUUUAGGGGUGAAGUGUACUGAUGUCUGCAAUUUCUGCAUGACUCUGAAAUACAUGAAAAAGUAAGAUGACCUGAUGAAUGGGUAUUUAGCUACACAAAUAAUAAGGCAAAUACAACCAAAUAUUAACAAUUGUAGAAUCUAGGAAAUGAGUGUAUGGGGAUUCACUGUAUAAUUCUUUAGCUUUAGUGGUGUUUCUGUUUUGUUCUUAAAAUAUUAAGUAAAAAGUAGUCACUACUUAUUGAGGACUUACUAAAAUCUGUUAGUUGUUGUGCUAUGCAGUGUUGAUAUAUUGCCUCUCCUACUAAAGAGAAUAAUUCAUGGUGGAUAUUUAUUCUUUGUGGAUUAGUAAAUUUGUAAAUUGUAAAUUAGGAAACUGUGACUAAGACAAUUCAACGAACAUGUUCAGCACUGUAUGACUAAAUGGCGGGCCUAUCUGCUUGCAAAGUUUGCACCUGUGCUGUCUCAUAUGGUACCCACAGCCACACGUUGUGCUUGAGAACUGAAAUCUGGUUAGUUUGACUGAGGAACUGAAUUUAUGAUUUAAUUUUAAUUAGAAAAACAAUAUUCAAUUCAGUAAUUGGAAAACUCAAUUUAGUUACUGUAAAAUUUCAAGUAUGUUUGCAACAACUUGGAUAAGUGAAUCUAUAUUUUCAAUGCUAAAUUUUAUGAAAUCUAAGUACUGAUCAAAUAUUUUUUUUUUGAUACAGGAUCUUGCUCUGUUGCCCAGGCUAGAGUGCAAUGGCAUGAUCUUGGCUCACUGCAGCCUCCAACUCUUGGGUUCAAGCAAUUCUCCUGCCUCAGCCUCCUAUGUAGUUGGGACCACAGGUAUAUGCCACCAAGCCUGGCUAAUUUUCAAACUUUUUUUGUAAGACAAGUUCUCACUUUGUUGCCCAGGCUGGUCUCAAACUCCUGAGCUCUAGCCAUCAUCCAGCCUCGGCCUCCCAAAGUGCUGGGAUUACAGGUGUGAACUGCUGCACCUGGCCUCAUCAAGUAUUUAUUUAAAAAAAAUUGUUUUUGACACAAAGUCUCACUCUGUUGCCUGAGCUGGAGUACAGAGGUGUGAUCAUAGCUCACUGCAGCCUUGACCACCCAGGCUCAAGCAAUUCUCCUGCCUCAGCCUCCCAAGUAGCUGGGACUCCAAGUACAUGUGACCACACCCAGCUAAUUUUUUUUUUAAUAGAGAUGAAGUCUCUACAUUGCUCAAGAUGAUCUUGAACUCCUGAGUUCAAGGGAUUCUCCUACCUUAGCCAAAAUGCUGAGUUACAGGCAUGAGUCCACUGCAUCCAGCCUCUUAUCAAGUAUUUCUAAUGCAAACUUAGUAUCUAAAUCAUGUGUCUUACAUGUAAUGUAGACACAUUUUGAAGAUUUAUUGUGAAAAAAAAG